AAAUAGAGGAGCGGACGAACAUAAGUACCCGCCGUCAGUUUUUCAAGGCAGAAAAAACGUUGACGCGGCGAGAGAAAGGGUAUCUCCGCCGAAGCGCGAGGCUUGCCCCCUUUCGCUGGGCAUAUAGGAGAAUACCUAUAUGACUGUCACCGUCCGUGAAGUGCUAUU
rnacentral:ncRNA from 1 species